rnacentral:misc_RNA from 1 species
CAGAGUUCGUGCCCUCCUGGGUAGAUCUCCCACCCUUGUCUAUAUCAUAGAUUGUUGCUUUGGCGGGCCGUACGCUUCGGCUACCCGGGGAACCCCCCGGCGCGCCCGCCAGAGGACCCCUAAACUCUGAAUAUUAGUGUCGUCCGAGUACUAUCUAAUAGUUA